rnacentral:rRNA from 1 species
AAAAGUGAAAGACGGUCUUGCUGUCACUUAUAGAUGGAUCCGCGCUGCAUUAGCUAGUUGGUAAGGUAACGGCUUACCAAGGCAACGAUGCAUAGCCGACCUGAGAGGGUGAUCGGCCACACUGGAACUGAGACACGGUCCAGACUCCUACGGGAGGCAGCAGUAGGGAAUCUUCCGCAAUGGGCGAAAGCCUGACGGAGCAACGCCGCGUGAGUGAUGAAGGUCUUCG